rnacentral:lncRNA from 1 species
AUAUAUAUAUAUAAAGUUAAGAAUUCAAAUACAAUACAAUCAACAUUGAAUAUACUUGCAUUGCUUGUACAGUCUCUAAAUGGUCAUUUUUUUAACAUACUAUUCUAUCUAUUUUUUUUUUUAAAUAAUAUUUUUCUAUCUUUUCUUUUUUCUUUUUGAUCAUUUUACUUAUAUAUUUUUAUCUCCUUUGUACUUAUAGUAAGCCUUUAUAAACUUCCAAUUGCACUAUUACCUAACUCAACAUAUGUAGACACUAUCCUUACACAAAAAAUACACACUUGUUUGAAUAAAUUCAAUUUUAAAAUAUCAAAAUUAUUCGUUUUUAUUUGCCCUUUUUACCUUGAGCUUCAUCUUUCCUCUC